rfam:Ruminococcus lactaris ATCC 29176 Scfld_02_7 genomic scaffold, whole genome shotgun sequence.
CUCUUAUUCAGAGCAGUGGAGAUACAAAGGAUCUAAGAAGCUGCGGCAACCCCACAUUAUAAAGGAAGGUGCCAACCUGAGCGAGUUACUCGAACAAUAAGAG